AACGAACGCUGGCGGCAUGCCUAACACAUGCAAGUCGAGCGCCCGUAGCAAUACGGGAGCGGCGCACGGGUGAGUAACGCGUGGGAACCUGCCCAGAGGUUCGGGACAACCGCGGGAAACUGCGGCUGAUACCGGAUGAUACCUGAGGGUCAAAGAUUUAUCGCCCUUGGAGGGGCCCGCGUCAGAUUAGGUAGUUGGUGAGGUAACGGCUCACCAAGCCUGUGAUCUGUAACUGGUCUGAGAGGAUGACCAGUCACACUGGGACUGAGACACGGCCCAGACUCCUACGGGAGGCAGCAGUGGGGAGUAUUGGACAAUGGGGGCAACCCUGAUCCAGCAAUGCCGCGUGGGUGAUGAAGGCCUUCGGGUUGUAAAGCCCUUUCGGCGGGGACGAUGAUGACGGUACCCGCAGAAGAAGCCCCGGCUAACUUCGUGCCAGCCGCCGCAGUAA
rnacentral:rRNA from 1 species